UGGCUCAGUUGGUAGAGUGUUUGCCUAACAUGCAUGAGGCUCUGGGUUCAAACCCCAG
rnacentral:tRNA from 1 species